UAGUCAUAUGCUUGUCUCAAAGAUUAAGCCAUGCAUGUCUAAGCACAAGCCGAUUAAUGGUGAAGCCGCGAAUGGCUCAUUACAACAGCCAUAGUUUCUUAGAUCUUACUUUUCUACUUGGAUAACUGUGGUAAUUCUAGAGCUAAUACACGCAAACAAGCUCAGACCUUACGGAAUGAGCGCAUUUAUUAGAACAAAAACCAAUCGGACUUUCGGGUCCGUCAUUUGGUGAAUCUGAAUAACUUUGCUGAUCGCACGGUCAUCGUACCGGCGACAUAUCUUUCAAAUGUCUGCCUUAUCAACUUUCGAUGGUAGUUUAUGCGCUUACCAUGGUUGUAACGGGUAACGGAGAAUAAGGGUUCGACUCCGGAGAGGGAGCCUGAGAAACGGCUACCACAUCCAAGGAAGGCAGCAGGCACGCAAAUUACCCACUCCCGGCACGGGGAGGUAGUGACGAAAAAUAACGAGACGGCUCGCUAUGCGGUCCGUCAUCGGAAUGGGUACAAUUUAAAUCCUUUAACGAGGAUCUAUU
rnacentral:rRNA from 1 species